rnacentral:rRNA from 1 species
UCCAGACUUUGAUUCUGGCUCAGAUUGAACGCUGGCGGCAGGCCUAACACAUGCAAGUCGAGCGGUAGAGAGAAGCUUGCUUCUCUUGAGAGCGGCGGACGGGUGAGUAAUGCCUAGGAAUCUGCCUGGUAGUGGGGGAUAACGUUCGGAAACGGACGCUAAUACCGCAUACGUCCUACGGGAGAAAGCAGGGGACCUUCGGGCCUUGCGCUAUCAGAUGAGCCUAGGUCGGAUUAGCUAGUUGGUGGGGUAAUGGCUCACCAAGGCGACGAUCCGUAACUGGUCUGAGAGGAUGAUCAGUCACACUGGAACUGAGACACGGUCCAGACUCCUACGGGAGGCAGCAGUGGGGAAUAUUGGACAAUGGGCGAAAGCCUGAUCCAGCCAUGCCGCGUGUGUGAAGAAGGUCUUCGGAUUGUAAAGCACUUUAAGUUGGGAGGAAGGGCAGUUACCUAAUACGUGAUUGUUUUGACGUUACCGACAGAAUAAGCACCGGCUAACUCUGUGCCAGCAGCCGCGGUAAUACAGAGGGUGCAAGCGUUAAUCGGAAUUACUGGGCGUAAAGCGCGCGUAGGUGGUUAGUUAAGUUGGAUGUGAAAUCCCCGGGCUCAACCUGGGAACUGCAUUCAAAACUGACUGACUAGAGUAUGGUAGAGGGUGGUGGAAUUUCCUGUGUAGCGGUGAAAUGCGUAGAUAUAGGAAGGAACACCAGUGGCGAAGGCGACCACCUGGACUGAUACUGACACUGAGGUGCGAAAGCGUGGGGAGCAAGCAGGAUUAGAUACCCUGGUAGUCCACGCCGUAAACGAUGUCAACUAGCCGUUGGGAGCCUUGAGCUCUUAGUGGCGCAGCUAACGCAUUAAGUUGACCGCCUGGGGAGUACGGCCGCAAGGUUAAAACUCAAAUGAAUUGACGGGGGCCCGCACAAGCGGUGGAGCAUGUGGUUUAAUUCGAAGCAACGCGAAGAACCUUACCAGGCCUUGACAUCCAAUGAACUUUCUAGAGAUAGAUUGGUGCCUUCGGGAACAUUGAGACAGGUGCUGCAUGGCUGUCGUCAGCUCGUGUCGUGAGAUGUUGGGUUAAGUCCCGUAACGAGCGCAACCCUUGUCCUUAGUUACCAGCACGUUAUGGUGGGCACUCUAAGGAGACUGCCGGUGACAAACCGGAGGAAGGUGGGGAUGACGUCAAGUCAUCAUGGCCCUUACGGCCUGGGCUACACACGUGCUACAAUGGUCGGUACAGAGGGUUGCCAAGCCGCGAGGUGGAGCUAAUCCCACAAAACCGAUCGUAGUCCGGAUCGCAGUCUGCAACUCGACUGCGUGAAGUCGGAAUCGCUAGUAAUCGCGAAUCAGAAUGUCGCGGUGAAUACGUUCCCGGGCCUUGUACACACCGCCCGCCACACCAUGGGAGUGGGUUGCACCAGAAGUAGCUAGUCUAACCUUCGGGGGGACGGUUACCACGGUGUGAUUCAUGACUGGGGUGAAGUCGUAACAAG